AGUGAACGCUGGCGGUAGGCCUAACACAUGCAAGUCGAACGGCAGCACAGUAAGCGCUUGCUCCUACGGGUGGCGAGUGGCGGACGGGUGAGGAAUACAUCGGAAUCUUCUUUUUCGUGGGGGAUAACGUAGGGAAACUUACGCUAAUACCGCAUAUGACCUACGGGUGAAAGCAGUGGAUCUUCGGACCUUGCGCGAUUGAAUGAGCCGAUGUCGGAUUAGCUAGUUGGCGGGGUAAAGGCCCACCAAGGCGACGAUCCGUAGCUGGUCUGAGAGGAUGAUCAGCCACACUGGAACUGAGACACGGUCCAGACUCCUACGGGAGGCAGCAGUGGGGAAUAUUGGACAAUGGGCGCAAGCCUGAUCCAGCAAUACCGCGUGGGUGAAGAAGGCCUUCGGGUUGUAAAGCCCUUUUGUUGGGAAAGAAAAGCAGCAGGUUAAUCCCCCGCUGUUCUGACGGUACCCAAAGAAUAAGCCCCGGCUAACUUCGUG
rnacentral:rRNA from 1 species